rnacentral:rRNA from 1 species
AUUGAACGCUGGCGGCAGGCCUAACACAUGCAAGUCGAGCGGAUGAAGGGAGCUUGCUCCUGGAUUCAGCGGCGGACGGGUGAGUAUGCCUUGGAAUCUUCCUGGUAGUGGGGGAUAACGUCCGGAAACGGGCGCUAAUACCGCAUACGUCCUGAGGGAGAAAGUGGGGGAUCUUCGGACCCUAAGCUAUUCGAUGAGCCUAGGUCGGAUUAGCUAGUUGGUGGGGUAAAGGCCUACCAAGGCGACGAUCCGUAACUGGUCUGAGAGGAUGAUCAGUCACACUGGAACUGAGACACGGUCCAGACUCCUACGGGAGGCAGCAGUGGGGAAUAUUGGACAAUGGGCGAAAGCCUGAUCCAGCCAUGCCGCGUGUGUGAAGAAGGUCUUCGGAUUGUAAAGCACUUUAAGUUGGGAGGAAGGGCAGUAAGUUAAUACCUUGCUGUUUUGACGUUACCAACAGAAUAAGCACCGGCUAACUUCGUG